rnacentral:lncRNA from 1 species
UAACUCUUGUGAAGACACAAGAGCAUAUUCGUUAAAGCAUGAGACCACAAUACACAAUAGAAGCAAGAACACAAGUCCCAAAUUCGAAAAACUUUUCUUUGUCAUCUCUCUCUAUCUCUAUCUCUCGUAGUUAAUUUUGUGAAACUCUUCACUGCCUCCAAAAACCUUUCUUCAAAACCGCCUACCGUGCAAGUGCAAUGAGCAAAAACAACUUGGCCUGAGACAGAGUUCACUUAAAAAUAUUGUUUCAUUUUUUUUCUUUGAAAGAGAAUGGUAUACUAGUAACUAGCUAAAUGAAUGAAUGUUCAUAUAACAUGAUAUUUAUAGGAGAAUUUUGGACCAUAAUCCUAGGCCCUGAGUAUGAGCAACGUGAUCCAUAUAUUAUGGCCCAAAAAUUAAUGAGAUAUUGAAAUUUUGAAAUUUUUUCUUUUGAUUUCUAUUUUUUAUGGGGUUCUUUUGACUUAAAAUGAUAAGAUUAUUUAUGCCUAAUUCUUUACUUUUCUUUGGUUUUUGAUUAUAAAUAAUUCCCUCUGUCGAUAUUAUUGAAACUUGUCUCUUUUGUUCGUUUAUAACAUUUUAAAAUGAUAUUAAAAAAGAAGAUCUAAGAUUGAUUAGGAUCCUCGUAAACAAUGAACCGGUUCUAAACACAACAUCGUAUAUAAUUCUUUACUAGCUUCAUUUCAUUCAAAAAUAUUACAACACAUUUCACCAAAAUACAAUACAACCAUAUAUCUCACUGGACCUACAAGUUUCUUAUAUGUUUCAUAGAGAUUGCCGACGAUGGUGAGACAAAAGGUUGCGGCGGCGGCGGCGAUGGUGGAGCUCCUAGAGACUUAGUUCGUGGACUGACUGAUGGCCGCAUUGGAAUCAACUUCCUUCUCCGGCCUAUUUAAUUGAAAAUUAGAUAGUUAUAAAAUUUACCAUAUUGUAUAUAGCCAAUAUAUUGGUCUAAGGAAAACUAAACCAAAACAAAAUAAAAUAAUCAGAGAAGGAAAUUAUCUUAAAAUUACAUGAGUUUUACAAAUAUAUACUGUAUUCUUUAUUUUUACCAACAAAAAAAAUUGUUUUCGUUUUACUAAAAUAACAUGAGAUUUAUGUUAGCAAGCACUGACCUGGGAGUAACUCUUGGGGAGAAGCAAGAACAUUACUAGAAGCCAAAAUAACCACUAGAAACAACAACACAACUCUCGACUUCAUCAAUAGACCAAGAACUUGCUAUUUUUUCUUUGUUAACUUGCUAAAUCUAUUGGUUUCAAACUCGAAAAUACCAAGAACUCAAGCUGUCCCUCUCUCUUUCUUGGCUAUUCACUUAUUCGUGUACCUCUUCCUUCAUAUUAAAUGGUACUAUUAUAUAGCCAUGACCCAUGAAGAUAAGGCAAUGACUACUUUUGGACUCUAUGUUGGAAAACCUCGUUUACUAUAUUGUCAAUGUUGGAUAUUUGGUAAGGCUUAGUGGGUCUAGUGGCUUGAAUGAUGAUGAGGUUUGGCAGAAACAACUUGUUCUAGAAGAUAGUUUGACUUCUAGAUAGUACAUAUAUAGACAAAUUAAAGAAAUAAAGAAGCCAAAUCU